GUCCUGCUAGGCCGGGUCUGAGACCCCGGGGGAGUCCGGAGUGGGCCUGGCUCCCGGAGGAGUGGCCCCUAGGGUCUUGGUGUGGGGCCGGGUCCUGGAUGGGGAGGUCGGGGGUAAAAGGAUUACGGCUGCCCCCUGCUGGAGGAGACUGCCCCACGGGCCGAGGCCGUGCCCGAGGCCGGCAGGAGCAGGAGACGGAGGGGAGGAGGGUGCCAGCAGCCAGAGCCGGGCAGGCCCCCACCCUUUCUGUCCUCUUCAUGCUGACUGCUGCCUGGCCCGCUUGGCUUGUGCCACUCAGACCACCUGUCACCUGCCCAGAGGAGCCAGAUCUGACCAGCGUGGGCAGGAGCCGGUUUUCCGCACUGUUCUAGCAUUUGGACCUCGUUUCCUCUCUCCCUCUGAUACUUCAGCAGCCUCCCAGAGACAUCCCAGUGCAGGCCUCUUAGCAAGUCCCAGGCGGCCUACAGUCUAGACUCCUGUGCUGGCUUUACCUCCCAGCAUAGUCUGAAAUGUGCCUACGCUCUGGUUGGACUGGCUUCAGUACUCCAUCUGCCUGCUGCCCCCAUAUGCUGUAGAAGGUACAAGAGAUCACUGAAGCCAGAAAUCCUCAGUUCCCACAGUCCCUGACCUCCUGACGCUCCCCUUCCCACCAUUUACACUGAUGUUUCCCUUCCUUCUCUUCCAGGACAGUGGAAGAGAUGCUGUUCCUUCAGUCAAGGGCAUCUCCUGUAAAAUACCCUUUUGUUCUUGUGUGUUUUCAAACAUUCUCUCCUGGUUCCUUCAGAUCUCUGCCAACUUGAGCUCUAUAUCCCAUGCCCCUCUCCCGCUGCUACCCUCUCUCUACCCAGCUUCCAGCUCCCCUGUCCCCCAAAGCCAAACUUCCUUAAGUGCCACCAUCAUUUUUUUCUCACCAUUUUCUUAUUCUUUACCUCACUGUGUGUGACUUUUUCCCAACUAUAAUGGGGUUGAAAUGACUUUAACCAAGGUCACGAUGCCAAGUCAUUGUUUACUAUUUUUGACUUCUUGACUUUUACCCUGUUGACACUUGGUCCCCUCUGAAGCUGUCUCUUCUAUGGCAUUAAACUUUUGAAGUUUCCUUUGCCUCUCUGAAUGCUUCCUUGACAAUAUCUCUGUCUGUCCUUAUUCAAGACUGUUCCUCAGAGCCAUUCAGUCCCUGCUGCCUCCUUUAGCAUAAAAGAGUAGGUUUUAUUCAAGUGAGAAGAAAAGAGAUGGAGCUCCCACAAGAUGAGAAGGGAUCCAAAAGGGGUUGCCCCCUCAGUUUCUCCUUGCUGUAUACUCUCUUCCCAGGUGGUCUCACUCCCUCUUAUGGCUUCAAUUAUCAACAACUCUUGGGGUUUUUGUUUGUUUGUUUGUUUGUUUUUGCAGUAUUGGGGAUUGAACCUAGAGCCUCAUACAUGAUAGGUAAGUGCUCUACUACUGAGCUACAGCCCCAGCCCAGCUCUUGAAUCUUUUGUGUUGAUCUCUUCUCUGAGCGUCAGGCUCAUAUUACCACUGUCUCAAGUGGAUGUCAUAAAAUCAGUUUGUCAAAAAUACAGCUCAUUGUUUUCCUUUAAAAUGCAUUUGCUUUUUUAAGGUUUACCUCUAGCAUUCUCAGGGCCAUGGGCAGGAGCACAAGUGGAAGCCUACAUAUCACAUUUGGAGUAGUUGAAAGCACUCAAGCUAAAUAAAUUAUGUUAUGGUUUCUUACUCAGACACAUAAACUUUUCUAACAACCCAGAAGGUCAUAUUUGAAUUUAGAAUUCUUGUGCUUUCUGGAGUGCUGGGCCAGGAUGUGGUAGCUUAGGGAAAGCUGACUCCCUGACCCCAACCCUCAUUCUGCACUUCUCUUCCCUUCUGGGUUUGGCCCUACAGUACAAAGGGCCAUAUGCUUUUGAACACCCAAAGUCCCUGUGUCCAAGCUCUGCUCAUACCUCCCAAGCUGCAUUUCCUUCUCUGUUACUCUUGAAUGGGGUUGAAUCAGAAUCCUGAACCAGAGCACAAGGGAGAAGAAGGGUUGACCCAGAAAGAGGAAUUGAAGAUUGAGGUCAUGAAAGCGAAUCAAGAAAAAGAUUCAUGACCCCAUGAAAAAGGUUCAUCAUGGGAAUGGGUUUGGGAACCAGGCAGGGUAAGGAAGUGGCUAGAGGAAGAUGCCCUGAGGCAGUUAUAAGGAUCUGUCUUGGCUGGAUCUAGGGAUGGCAAGUUCUGCAUUCUCAGCAAGUGACAUCAUACAUUAUCGAGUCAUCUUAGCUGGGAAAGCAACAAACUCUGGAUGCUCUCUUUAUCCUCCCUCAAAUCCAAGCAGUUAGGUUUUCUGUUUUCUUAAUAACUUGAAUGGAUUUCUCUUCAUCUUGAAGUUCAUGCUAUCAUCUCCCACCUAAGUGAUUGCAACAGCCCGAGUCUAACCUGUCUCCUUGCCUUGGUCUUGUUUCCCUAGAAUCCAUUUCUCCAUAGCAACUGGAAUGAUCUUUCUGAGUACAAAUGUGAUUACUCCAUUAGAAAGCACAAGUUUCUGCUUAUUGCCUUUAGGAGAAAGUCCGAGCUCUUUAGCAUGUCAUUCACAGUAUUUGGUGAUCUGACCCCUGCUCACCUCUCUAACUGCAUUGUUCAGCUCUUCCUGGUUCCUAACACAUAUAAAAUACCAUGCACAUACUCCCCAAAAUGAACAGCCAUAUAAAUUCACAUAAACAAUACACAUUCACACUAUCAGAGAUGAGGCAUAUAUGAACUUGAACGCCCACACCACAUACAUUCCCACACUGUAAUACAGUAGCUCACAAAUAUACACGCUUAUAACCCUGUGCGUGUAUGCAUUCACAACAUACUCUGAAAGCUCACACACCACAUUCUGUCACGUUCUCCUGCAUAUUUUCCACACACAUUCAUACACACUCACAUAUUCACACCCUGUACACCUCAGUCACUCAUACACCCACACCACAAAACUUAAGUACCACAUACUCUCAGACCAUGCAUGCUUACAUGGUCGGACCUUUAACCAUACUCAUCUAGUUCUUAUUCCUGCAACCUCUAGCACCAGGCCUUUUUUCAAGCUGGUCUUUCUUCUGGAAUGCUUCUUUCUGGGUUGCUUUCCUGCAGAAAGCCUUUCCUGAACCCGAAGCUUGGAAGAUCUGAAGGAUUCCCUUUAGAAUCAAACCUAAGGCUUACUUGUUUAGUCUGGAAGUAAGAAACUAGAGUUUAGCUUCUUAAACUGAGGUUUCUUAAAUGUACUUCUCCCAAGCAUAUAAUUUUUGUCACCCUGUCUGUUGUCUCAUAGUCCUUAAUGGUACAAAAUUUAAAACAGGAGGGGUCUGGGUAGGGUGGUCCCUAUAGAAAUGAAAUUCCAGCUGGAUGGCAGGGAACCCAGUGGUAGGAGGAAGGGGAGUAAGACUGCAGGGAAGUGACCGCAGACCUGCAGGGCUUUUGUGUCUUGAUGCACUUGCCCAGCUUUUCAGAAGUGUGUCUAGUUUGGAGUGAGUCAAGUUCUAGGGAUUUGUUUAGCCUGCAGGAUCCUCCGAGGGGAUCUUUACUUCCAGUGGAGUGUUGAAGCUGUGCAGUGGGUAGGCUGGCAGCAUCUGAAGUACAGGGAUUGAGGUGAAUCAGGGCGGGGGUUGAAUGACCCAGCUUGGGAACUCAGGAAGAGGGCCUCAGAGGAGGGUUAUUAGUCUCAAAUGUCAUGCAGAGGUGGAGAAGGAUGUGGCACCUAGGAGGCCACCCACAGCCUUUCUAGAACAGCAGCAUUUGGAGUCUGUUGCCAAAUUGUACAGGCUUAAAUAGGCAGAGAACAGAAAUCAAAGUCCUCCUCUCAGGGAAGGAGGAAGAGUUCAUGUCUGCUGAUGAACAGAGGAGAGUGCCAGGUAGGGAGGGCAAGGUACAGUCCCAGGACAGAGCAAAGGUCACUGCACGGGUGAGUGGGCUCUGAGUGCAUGUGGAAAUUCUACAUUGGACAGGAAGGAACACAGCUUCCUCCAGGACAGGAAGGAUAUUGUAGGGAGGGAAGUGAAUGUAACAACCACCAAUGUUUUAUCAUCUGCUUCCACCUUGGUAACCUCUAGCAACACAGGCUGUUAGCCACAGACUCCUAUGGCCACCCCCCAUCACCACCACCAAAUUCUCCCUCUGGUAUCUUCAGUGCUAAGCAUUUUUUGCUCAUAGCUUUCCAUUCUUUGAGCUCUCCCUCCUCCAUGUCACCACACUCAGUUCUGUGGCCUCUAUUGCCUCCUGGCCUCUGAGUACCCGCCACCCCCACCACAGUCUCCACAUAGGCUUAGCCCAUGGAGCAUCCCUUCAGUUGCUUUGCUGCGAACACCUGCACCUUCUUCACUUGCUCUUCUGUCUCACCCUCCUCUGUACAUUUCCAGCCCCAUGCUAAUAGGCUCCACCCUCAGGCUUCAGUCCUGUUUCCUCUCCAAAGCUUCUACAUGUGGGUUGUUAGGUGCUUCCUGGCCAUUUCUAACUGGACAGUAAUGGGGUGCUAAUGAUGAGGGUUGGGGUAGGCUAAGGGCUAGAGUUGGGGGUCAAGGGUGGGAAGGCCGAGGGUUCAUUACAUACUGGACCCAGCAGGCUAGCACAGUUGGAUUCCAGAGCUGGGAAAUUCAUGUCUUGCAGUGCUGCUUGGAAGCUUGGUUGAGGGAAGGAGUGCCUACUCUUAGGUGAGUAGAAUGGGGACCUAGUUUUGCCUUUUCAUUUCUAUGGUCCUGUGUGCUCACACUCCCUUCCUUCACUUAGUAGGGCCAAUGUCCCCAAGUUUGUUACUAUCUGUGCCUUCCCUCCAUAGUUUCCUGAGACCCCAAGCACACUGAGUCUCUCCUCACUCAGCAGCCUCACCAUUUCCUUCCCACUGUCCUUGGACCCAGGCCUCUUAUAGUUACCCUGGCGUUGAGAAGGACUUGCUGCCAUCUCUCCGAGCCCACUGGUGAGCCCACUGAUGUUAAGGCCGCCUGCCUGAGUCUUGAUUGCAGACUUGAGCUCCUGAUUCUCCCGAAUGAGCCGCACAAGCUUCUUCAGUUCCUCAUUCUCCCGCACCAGCCUCUCUAUCUGAUGCCGAAGCCCCUCAUAAUUGGAAGAGGUACAGGCACAGGCCAGUGAGCAGGCUCCUGGAACGUCGUGGAAGUGAAGAAGCGGGAGAUGAAGCCGUGCUGCCAUCAGUUAUUGGAGAUUGAACCAGGGGCCUUGUGCAUGGUAGUCAAGCACUCUACUACAGAGCUUCAUCCCCAGCCCAAUCCCUAUAUCUGGGAUUCAACUUGGUGAUCUGAUCAGAAUGAGUGAGUAUAGGCUUUGAACCUUUUUACAUUAAAGUAGUUCUUCUGGGCUGGGGAUAUAGCUCAGUUGGUAGAGUGCUUGCCUUGCAUGCAUAAGGCCCUGGGUUCUAAUCCCCAUCACCAAAAAAAAAAAAAAAAACCCAAAAACAAAAAUCAGCAGUUCUUCCUCUACAGUCCUGGGGAGGCAAGUGAAGAGCCUGGGUCUUGAAGGUCCAUUAAUUAUAACCAGGUGUUCAUUCAGCACUGAUAACUUAUAUCUGACCCUGAAGACAAACCAAGAGUAGGUGUCAUUUAUCCCUGCUCCAUAGGUGAGUCUGUCCAACCUGUAGUGACCUUACACUCCCAACCCUGCACAUUCAGUGGAAGGCUGAACUGGAUAUAAAAGCUCCUCAGACUCCUUAAACUAGGGCCUUCUGUCAUCUGCCACUUUCCUCUGCCCUCACUAAAGACUUCCCAGGCUCCAGGGACUGCAUUUAGUACUUGGGCUGGGACAGCUUUACGAAUGAGUCAUUGGUAUUACAAGUGUGGGGCACUGUGCCCAGCAGAAGAGGGUCUUUUCAUAGUAAAUCUUUCAUAUUUUCUUUCUUUUUUGGGGGGAGGGUAUACCAGGGGUUGAACUCAGGGGCCACAACCUUAGCCCUAUUUUAUAUAUUUUAGAUACAGGGUCUCACUGAGUUGCUUAGUGCUUUGCUUUUGCUGAGGCUGGCUUUGAACUCUGAUCCUCCUGCCUCAGCCUCCUAAGCCACUGGGAUUACAGGUGUGUGCCACCACGCUUGGCCCAAUCUUUCAUAUUUCCUGAACUUGAACCAUGUUAAUGUAUUACUAACUAUAAAAACAAAUAUAUACCAUUAAAUGGAGUGGAAUGAAGGAGAGUAUGAAGAAGGAGUUGCACAAGAAUACCUUAAUUCAUCCAGCUUUUAUUGUUGAUGAAUCUGUCAAUAUAAUCAAUCUUCCCUUGU